GCCAUAGGAAACAUUUUAUCCAAAGAGACAAGUUAUAGCCAUUUUAAAAAUGGGGUGAUCUAACUUGUCUCUUUAGAUAAAAUGUUUCCUAUGGC